UACGGAGGAUCCAAGCGUUAUCCGGAUUUAUUGGGUUUAAAGGGUGCGCAGGCGGAAGAUUAAGUCGGCGGUGAAAUUUUGCAGCUCAACUGUAAAAGUGCCAUCGAUACUGGUUUUCUUGAGUGUGGAUGAAGUAGGCGGAAUUUGUGGUGUAGCGGUGAAAUGCAUAGAUAUCACGAGGAACUCCGAUUGCGCAGGCAGCUUACUAGGCCAUAACUGACGCUCAGGCACGAAGGCGUGGGGAGUCAACAGGAUUAGA
rnacentral:rRNA from 1 species